rnacentral:rRNA from 1 species
AUUGAACGCUGGCGGCAGGCCUAACACAUGCAAGUCGAGCGGCAGCGGGAAAGUAGCUUGCUACUUUUGCCGGCGAGCGGCGGACGGGUGAGUAAUGCCUGGGGAUCUGCCCAGUCGAGGGGGAUAACAGUUGGAAACGACUGCUAAUACCGCAUACGCCCUACGGGGGAAAGGAGGGGACCUCCGGGCCUUUCGCGAUUGGAUGAACCCAGGUGGGAUUAGCUAGUUAGUGGGGUAAUGGCUCACCAAGGCGACGAUCCCUAGCUGGUCUGAGAGGAUGAUCAGCCACACUGGAACUGAGACACGGUCCAGACUCCUACGGGAGGCAGCAGUGGGGAAUAUUGCACAAUGGGGGAAACCCUGAUGCAGCCAUGCCGCGUGUGUGAAGAAGGCCUUCGGGUUGUAAAGCACUUUCAGCGAGGAGGAAAGGUUGUUGGCUAAUACCCAGCAACUGUGACGUUACUCGCAGAAGAAGCACCGGCUAACUCCGUGCCAGCAGCAGCCGCAG